rnacentral:pre_miRNA from 1 species
CAUAGCAUAGAUCUCAACCCUCCAAAAUAAAUCCAACGGCUGAGAUUCGUUCACGUCAUCACGAGUUAAAAUUUAACUCGUAGGAGUAAAAAAUUUACUGGGAGUAAAAUUUCAGGAGUUAAAAUUUUACUAGAGUUAAAUUUUAAUUCGUGAUGACGUGGACGAAUCUCAGCCGUUGGAUUUGUUUUGGAGGGCUGAGAUCUACGCUAUG